AGCGAACGCUGGCGGCAGGCCUAACACAUGCAAGUCGAACGAAGUCUUCGGACUUAGUGGCGGACGGGUGAGUAACACGUGGGAACGUGCCUUUAGGUUCGGAACAACUCAGGGAAACUUGAGCUAAUACCGAAUGUGCCCUUCGGGGGAAAGAUUUAUCGCCAUUGGAGCGGCCUGCGUCUGAUUAGCUAGUUGGUGGGGUAAUGGCCUACCAAGGCGACGAUCAGUAGCUGGUCUGAGAGGAUGAUCAGCCACAUUGGGACUGAGACACGGCCCAAACUCCUACGGGAGGCAGCAGUGGGGAAUCUUGCGCAAUGGGCGAAAGCCUGACGCAGCCAUGCCGCGUGAAUGAUGAAGGUCUUAGGAUUGUAAAAUUCUUUCACCGGGGACGAUAAUGACGGUACCCGGAGAAGAAGCCCCGGCUAACUUCGUGCCAGCCGCCGCAGUAAAAC
rnacentral:rRNA from 1 species